rnacentral:rRNA from 1 species
AGUGAACGCUGGCGGUAGGCCUAACACAUGCAAGUCGAACGGCAGCACAGUAAGAGCUUGCUCUUACGGGUGGCGAGUGGCGGACGGGUGAGGAAUACAUCGGAAUCUACUUUUUCGUGGGGGAUAACGUAGGGAAACUUACGCUAAUACUGCAUACGACCUACGGGUGAAAGCAGGGGAUCUUCGGACCUUGCGCGAUUGAAUGAGCCGAUGUCGGAUUAGCUAGUUGGCGGGGUAAAGGCCCACCAAGGCGACGAUCCGUAGCUGGUCUGAGAGGAUGAUCAGCCACACUGGAACUGAGACACGGUCCAGACUCCUACGGGAAGCAGCAGUGGGGAAUAUUGGACAAUGGGCGCAAGCCUGAUCCAGCCAUACCGCGUGGGUGAAGAAGGCCUUCGGGUUGUAAAGCCCUUUUGUUGGGAAAGAAAAGCAGCAGGUUAAUACCCCGCUGUUCUGACGGUACCCAAAGAAUAAGCACCGGCUAACUUCGUG